UCCCCAGUGGCGCAAUCGGUUAGCGCGCCGUACUUAUAAGCAGUAUCUGGUGCUCAUGAGCCAUGCGGAGGUUGUGAGUUCGAGCCUCACCUGGGGAA
rnacentral:tRNA from 1 species